rnacentral:lncRNA from 1 species
GAAUUUAUAAAUGAUGUCUACUUCUAUCAUUAAUCCGCAUAUGUAACAAUCACGAAAUUAACUUUUUAUACAAACCAAUCUAAUUGGCUGCUUAUAAAAUAUUUCUUUUAAUAAUCAUUAAAAUAAACAUAACAAAAAAUAACAAAAAAAAUUAAAAACCAAACACUCAUCUCUCCUCCUCCUUUCCCAAAUCCACCUACACCUACUUCUUUCCCCCAAAUGCAUUAACUUCCAUGU